UAAUACAUGCAAGUCGAGCGGACAGAAGGGAGCUUGCUCCCGGAUGUUAGCGGCGGACGGGUGAGUAACACGUGGGUAACCUGCCUGUAAGACUGGGAUAACUCCGGGAAACCGGAGCUAAUACCGGAUAGUUCCUUGAACCGCAUGGUUCAAGGAUGAAAGACGGUUUCGGCUGUCACUUACAGAUGGACCCGCGGCGCAUUAGCUAGUUGGUGGGGUAAUGGCUCACCAAGGCGACGAUGCGUAGCCGACCUGAGAGGGUGAUCGGCCACACUGGGACUGAGACACGGCCCAGACUCCUACGGGAGGCAGCAGUAGGGAAUCUUCCGCAAUGGACGAAAGUCUGACGGAGCAACGCCGCGUGAGUGAUGAAGGUUUUCGGAUCGUAAAGCUCUGUUGUUAGGGAAGAACAAGUGCGAGAGUAACUGCUCGCACCUUGACGGUACCUAACCAGAAAGCCACGGCUAACUACGUGCCAGCAGCCGCGGUAAUACGUAGGUGGCAAGCGUUGUCCGGAAUUAUUGGGCGUAAAGGGCUCGCAGGCGGUUUCUUAAGUCUGAUGUGAAAGCCCCCGGCUCAACCGGGGAGGGUCAUUGGAAACUGGGAAACUUGAGUGCAGAAGAGGAGAGUGGAAUUCCACGUGUAGCGGUGAAAUGCGUAGAGAUGUGGAGGAACACCAGUGGCGAAGGCGACUCUCUGGUCUGUAACUGACGCUGAGGAGCGAAAGCGUGGGGAGCGAACAGGAUUAGAUACCCUGGUAGUCCACGCCGUAAACGAUGAGUGCUAAGUGUUAGGGGGUUUCCGCCCCUUAGUGCUGCAGCUAACGCAUUAAGCACUCCGCCUGGGGAGUACGGUCGCAAGACUGAAACUCAAAGGAAUUGACGGGGGCCCGCACAAGCGGUGGAGCAUGUGGUUUAAUUCGAAGCAACGCGAAGAACCUUACCAGGUCUUGACAUCCUCUGACAACCCUAGAGAUAGGGCUUUCCCUUCGGGGACAGAGUGACAGGUGGUGCAUGG
rnacentral:rRNA from 1 species